AUACGGAGGGGGUUAGCGUUGUUCGGAAUUACUGGGCGUAAAGCGCACGUAGGCGGAUUAGUCAGUCAGAGGUGAAAUCCCAGGGCUCAACCCUGGAACUGCCUUUGAUACUGCUAGUCUUGAGUUCGAGAGAGGUGAGUGGAAUUCCGAGUGUAGAGGUGAAAUUCGUAGAUAUUCGGAGGAACACCAGUGGCGAAGGCGGCUCACUGGCUCGAUACUGACGCUGAGGUGCGAAAGCAUGGGGAGCAAACAGGAUUAGAUACCCUGGUAGUCCAUGCCGUAAACGAUGAAUGCCAGACGUCGGAAAGCUUGCUUUUCGGUGUCACACCUAACGGAUUAAGCAUUCCGCCUGGGGAGUACGGUCGCAAGAUUAAA
rnacentral:rRNA from 1 species